rnacentral:rRNA from 1 species
UACGGGGGGAGCAAGCGUUGUUCGGAUUUACUGGGCGUAAAGGGCGCGUAGGCGGCGUGACAAGUCACUUGUGAAAUCUCCGGGCUUAACUCGGAACGGUCAAGUGAUACUGUCGUGCUAGAGUACAGAAGGGGCAACUGGAAUUCUCGGUGUAGCGGUGAAAUGCGUAGAUAUCAGGAGGAACACCGGUGGCGAAGGCGGAUCUCUGGGCCUGUCCUGACGCUGAGGCGCGAAAGUGUGGGGAGGCAAACGGG